UACAGAGGGGGCAAGCGUUGUUCGGAAUUACUGGGCGUAAAGGGCGCGUAGGCGGCCUUCUAAGUCGAACGUGAAAUCCCUGGGCUCAACCCAGGAACUGCGUCCGAUACUGGAAGGCUUGAAUCCGGGAGAGGGAUGCGGAAUUCCAGGUGUAGCGGUGAAAUGCGUAGAUAUCUGGAGGAACACCGGUGGCGAAGGCGGCAUCCUGGACCGGCAUUGACGCUGAUGAGCGAAAGCCAGGGGAGCAAACGGG
rnacentral:rRNA from 1 species